rnacentral:misc_RNA from 1 species
UUUCCGUAGGUGAACCUGCGGAAGGAUCAUUAAAAAAUAUCACAUUUGUUUGUGAUUUAAUAAUCAUCCUACCUUUGUGAAUUUGUUUUUGUUUGAAAUUUAUGUUGUCUAUCCCUGGAUUAUGAAAGAAAAGUUGUAAAAGACUUUUUUUUCAUUCUAGGGAAUAGGCUUUCAUAGACAUUUUUUUAAAUUAAACUUUUGUAUUCAUUUGUCUAAAAUUUAUUUUUAAAUAAUUUAAAAACAACUUUUGACAAUGGAUCUCUUGGUUCUCGCAACGAUGAAGAACGCAGCAAAAUGCGAUAAGUAAUGUGAAUUGCAGAAUACGUGAAUCAUCAAAUUUUCGAACGCAUAUUGCACUUUUUUAGUUUACUAAAAAAGUAUGUCUGUUUGAGUAUCAGUAAAAUAUUCUCAUAAAAACUAUUGUUUUUAUGGUUAUGAGUGUUUUACAACGAUAACAAGUUGUUUCACUUUAAAUUGAUUUUUUUAAUAAGCCAAUUUGGUUUUAUUUUUAAAAUUGGAUAAAAUUUUCCGUAAAAAGGAAUAAACUUUUCAGUUUUAAAGUUAAAACUUAAAUUGACCUACAAAAAAGGAAAUUUAAUUAUAAAACUAACUUGAUCUCAAAUCAGAUAAGAGUACCCGCUGAACUUAAGCAUAUCAAUAAGCGGAGGAAAAGAAACUAACAAGGAUUCCCUUAGUAACGGCGAGUGAAGCGGGAAGAGCUCAAAUUUGAAAUCUUCAAGGUUCUACCUUGACGAAUUGUAGUUUAAAGAAGUGUUUUUCUGUUAGUGGAGUGGCAAAAAGUUCUUUGGAAUAGGACAUCAUAGAGGGUGAGAAUCCCGUAUUUGGUCAUUCCUUCUAGCUUUGUGAUACACUUUCAAAGAGUCGGAUUGUUUGGGAAUGCAGUCCAAAAUGGGUGGUAAAUUUCAUCUAAAGCUAAAUAUUGGCGAGAGACGAUAGCGAACAAGUACCGUAAGGGAAAGAUGAAAGAACUUUGAAAAGAGAGUUAAACAGUACGUGAAAUUGUCAAAAGGGAAGCGUUUGACACCAGUGUUGUUUUUCCGAAAAUCAAUUAUAAAUGUUUUGUUUCUGAGGAGUGAUGACUUCAUCGGCUUCCUUCUCUCUUCACGAAACUUUUGUAAUGCACUUUUCGGUUAACAAGUCAACAUCAAUUUCUUUUGUUGUAAAAGAGUAUUCGGAAGGUGGCUUUCUUUUCGGAGAAAGUGUUUAUAGCCCUAUACUUCUACAAUCGGAGAGAUUGAGGUCUGCAGCGUAGAUCCUUCGGGGUUAGAUACACUUGUGCUAAGUUAUAGCUUUUCAUAGACAACUUGUUGACUAUGUUUAGUCUUGUAGCUUACUCGCUUGUGCUAUUU